ACGGGGUGCAGCAGGCGCGAAACCUUUACAAUGCACGAAAGUGUGAUAAGGGGAUCCCAAGUGUUCAUGUACUGCAUGAACUUUUGCCAAGAGUAAAUAUCUUGGCGAAUAAGUGGUGGGAAAGACUGGUGCCAGCAGCCGCGGUAACACCAGCGCCACGAGUGGCAUCCACAAUUAUUGGCCUAAAGCGUCCGUAGCCGGAAGUGUAAAUCCUUUGUGAAAUCGUAGGGCUUAACUCUACGUCGUGCAGGGGACACUACAUUUCUUGGAACCGGGAGGAGUCAGAGGUAUUCUGGGGGGG
rnacentral:rRNA from 1 species